GACAGCAGCAGCCGCGGGAAUACGGAGGGAGCUAGCGUUGUUCGGAAUUACUGGGCGUAAAGCGCACGUAGGCGGCUUUGUAAGUUAGAGGUGAAAGCCUGGAGCUCAACUCCAGAACUGCCUUUAAGACUGCAUCGCUUGAAUCCAGGAGAGGUGAGUGGAAUUCCGAGUGUAGAGGUGAAAUUCGUAGAUAUUCGGAAGAAUACCAGUGGCGAAGGCGGCUCACUGGACUGGUAUUGACGCUGAGGUGCGAAAGCGUGGGGAGCAAACAGGAUUAGAGACCCCAGUAGUCCCUGUCUCUUAUAA
rnacentral:rRNA from 1 species